rnacentral:rRNA from 1 species
UGAGGAAUAUUGGUCAAUGGACGAGAGUCUGAACCAGCCAAGUAGCGUGCAGGAUGACGGCCCUAUGGGUUGUAAACUGCUUUUGUUUGGGAAUAAUCGACAUUACGUGUAAUGUUUUGCAUGUACCAUUCGAAUAAGGACCGGCUAAUUCCGUGCCAGCAGCCGCGGUAAUACGGAAGGUCCAGGCGUUAUCCGGAUUUAUUGGGUUUAAAGGGAGUGUAGGCGGUUGGUUAAGCGUGUUGUGAAAUGUAGAUGCUCAACAUCUGACUUGCAGCGCGAACUGGCUGACUUGAGUGCACACAACGUAGGCGGAAUUCAUGGUGUAGCGGUGAAAUGCUUAGAUAUCAUGAAGAACUCCGAUUGCGAAGGCAGCUUACGGGAGUGUUACUGACGCUUAAGCUCGAAGGUGCGGGUAUCGAACAGG